rnacentral:pre_miRNA from 1 species
UUAUCUACAUUUAAUGAUUCAUGUAUGUGUCCAAAGAUUCGAUGAGAUGGAUAAAAAAAUUUUGAUGGAGAACUAAACAGGGCCUAAGGCCUUGUAUAGUUUAGGUCUUGUUUAGUUCCAAAAAUUUUGCAAAAUUUUUCAGAUUCCUCGUCACAUCGAAUCUUUAGACGUAUGCAUGGAGUAUUAAAUAUAGAUGAAAAUAAAAAUUAAUUGC